GUGCUUACUUUUGGUAGCACUUAUACUAAAAUUGUAAUGAUACAGUGAAGAUUAGCAUGGCCCUUGCUCAAGAAUGGCAUGCAAAUUCAUGAAGCAUUCCAUGUUUUU
rnacentral:snRNA from 1 species